AAAUCGUACAAGUGUCUGAUCUCUACGGAUAUCCACACGAGACUUCGAUUUGAUCAGAAGCUUCUUAAUCUCAUCGGGAUGCUAGCUCUCUUGCAGAGAUCGCAUCUUGACGGUUGAAAAAUCUUUUUUUCUCUCAAGACACUCGUAGAGAAGAAAAUAAUAGGAGAAUGAUGAUCUCUAUGCUAGAGAUCAUGAGAAGAAUAUAUAUAUAUAUAUUUUUAAACUCAUGCACCAAAUCUUUAUCCUAGAGAUGUAAAAAUAUAUGUCCAACCCUUGGAUAAAGAGAGAAAAAUUUCAUAUCCAAACUUGGACAAAAGAGAG
rnacentral:lncRNA from 1 species